UACGUAGGGUGCAAGCGUUGUCCGGAUUUAUUGGGUUUAAAGGGUGCGUAGGCGGCCCUGUAAGUCAGUGGUGAAAUACUCCAGCUUAACUGGAGGGGUGCCAUUGAUACUGCAGGGCUUGAGUUAAGUUGAAGUUGGCGGAAUUGACGGUGUAGCGGUGAAAUGCUUAGAUAUCGUCAAGAACACCGAUAGUGAAGACAGCUAACUAAACUUUUACUGACGCUGAGGCGCGACAGCGUGGGGAGCAAACAGG
rnacentral:rRNA from 1 species